rnacentral:rRNA from 1 species
ACUCGUCCGCCAGAAAAUUACGGGCGAAAGCCUAAAACUCAAAAGACUUGACGGUGUCCCAAUCCUGCCUAGAGGAGCCUGUUUCAUAAUCGAUAACCCCCGUUCAACCCGACCUUUCCUUGAAAUAUUUCAGCCUAUAUACCGCCGUCCUUUUCCGCCUACCUUCUGAAAGACCUACAGUAGGCCUAAUAGUUCACCAACUAAAAAGUCAGGUCAAGGUGUAGCUUAUGGAAAGGAGAAAAUGGGCUACAUUUUCUACUAUAGAACACCACGAAAUACUUUCUGAAAUAAAUGUAUGAAGGAGGAUUUAGUAGUAAG